rnacentral:rRNA from 1 species
GAUGAACGCUAGCGGCAGGCCUAACACAUGCAAGUCGAGGGGUAGAAUUAGCUUGCUAAUUUGAGACCGGCGCACGGGUGCGUAACGCGUAUGCAAUCUGCCUUGUACUGAGGGAUAGCCCAGAGAAAUUUGGAUUAAUACCUCAUAGUAUUAUGAUGUGGCAUCACAUUAUAAUUAAAGUUCCAACGGUAUAAGAUGAGCAUGCGUCCCAUUAGUUAGUUGGUAAGGUAACGGCUUACCAAGACGAUGAUGGGUAGGGGUCCUGAGAGGGAGAUCCCCCACACUGGUACUGAGACACGGACCAGACUCCUACGGGAGGCAGCAGUGAGGAAUAUUGGUCAAUGGGCGCAAGCCUGAACCAGCCAUGCCGCGUGCAGGAUGACGGUCCUAUGGAUUGUAAACUGCUUUUAUACGGGAAGAAACACUGCUACGUGUAGCAGCUUGACGGUACCGUAAGAAUAAGGAUCGGCUAACUCCGUGCCAGCCGCCGCAGUAAGAC